rnacentral:rRNA from 1 species
AGUAGCUCAUGCCCCGCUUCCAGGAAAAGCCUCUAAGCUCUAGAUUAUCAUUAAUCGUACCCCAAACCGACACAGGUGGUCAGGUAGAGAAUACUCAGGCGCUUGAGAGAACUCGGGUGAAGGAACUAGGCAAAAUGGUGCCGUAACUUCGGGAGAAGGCACGCUGGCAUUAGGUGAAGUGGUUUACCCAUGGAGCUGAAGCCAGUCGCAGAUACCAGCUGGCUGCAACUGUUUAUUAAAAACACAGCACUGUGCAAACACGAAAGUGGACGUAUACGGUGUGACGCCUGCCCGGUGCUGGAAGGUUAAUUGAUGGGGUUAUCCGUAAGGAGAAGCUCUUGAUCGAAGCCCCAGUAAACGGCGGCCGUAACUAUAACGGUCCUAAGGUAGCGAAAUUCCUUGUCGGGUAAGUUCCGACCUGCACGAAUGGCGUAAUGAUGGCCAGGCUGUCUCCACCCGAGACUCAGUGAAAUUGAACUCGCUGUGAAGAUGCAGUGUACCCGCGGCAAGACGGAAAGACCCCGUGAACCUUUACUAUAGCUUGACACUGAACAUUGAGCCUUGAUGUGUAGGAUAGGUGGGAGGCUUUGAAGUGUGGACGCCAGUCUGCAUGGAGCCAACCUUGAAAUACCACCCUUUAAUGU